AGCCGACGAUUUAUAUCAAAUCAUACGACUUUCAGCGGCGGAUGUCUUGGUUCCCACAACGAUGAAGAACGCAGCGAAAUGCGAUACGUAAUGCGAAUUGCAGAGUCCAGCGAGUCAUCAAAUGUUCGAACGCACCUGGCA
rnacentral:rRNA from 1 species